rnacentral:rRNA from 1 species
AUUGAACGCUGGCGGCAGGCUUAACACAUGCAAGUCGAGCGGGGUGAUGGUGCUUGCACUAUCACUUAGCGGCGGACGGGUGAGUAAUGCUUAGGAAUCUGCCUAUUAGUGGGGGACAACAUCUCGAAAGGGAUGCUAAUACCGCAUACGUCCUACGGGAGAAAGCAGGGGAUCACUUGUGACCUUGCGCUAAUAGAUGAGCCUAAGUCGGAUUAGCUAGUUGGUGGGGUAAAGGCCUACCAAGGCGACGAUCUGUAGCGGGUCUGAGAGGACGAUCCGCCACACUGGGACUGAGACACGGCCCAGACUCCUACGGGAGGCAGCAGUGGGGAAUAUUGGACAAUGGGGGGAACCCUGAUCCAGCCAUGCCGCGUGUGUGAAGAAGGCCUUAUGGUUGUAAAGCACUUUAAGCGAGGAGGAGGCUCUUUUGGUUAAUACCCAAGAUGAGUGGACGUUACUCGCAGAAUAAGCACCGGCUAACUCUGUGCCAGCAGCCGCUGUAACAC